rnacentral:lncRNA from 1 species
AUGCUUCCUGCUGCUCUUCUAUGCGCUGUACAACAUGCUGGUGGCCCGUUCCAAGAUGGUGUGCUACUUUCUCAUCAUCCUCAACCACAUGGUCUCCGUCUCCAUGAUCACCCUCGUGCUGCCCAUCCUCAUCUUCCUCUGAUCCAUGCUGUCCAUCCCCUGGCCCAGCAGGCACUUCUGGAUGAUGGCCAUCAUCUACACGGAGGUGGCCAUUGUGGUCAAGUACUUCUUCCAGUUUGGGUUCUUCUCCUGGAACAAGAAUGUGGAACUGAACAAGGACAAGCCUUACCACCCACCCAACAUCAUUGGGGUGGAGAAGAAGGAUGCCUACGUGCUCUAUGAUCUCAUCCAGGUGCUGGCACUCUUCUUCCACCACUCCAGCCUGAAGAUACUGCCUGCCCAUCGCCCCUGGCAUGUUCCUGAGAACCGCGCAGUGGGAUUGUGAGGGGCUGGGAUGCCACAGGCAGGGUCUAUCUGUGUGCUCUUGUUUUCUUUGUUAACGGUUUUGUUCAUUUCAUUCAUUUCCUCCACAUUGUGUACUCAGUAUUGUAGUCUGUGAUCAAUCAGGGGAAAUUUUCUCCUAUUUCUACUCUGGGAUGAAUGCAUGCAUGCUAAGUCGCUUUGGACAUGUCUGACUCUUUUGCGACCCUAUGGCCUAUAACCCACCAGGCUCCUCUGUCCAUGGGAUUCUCCAGGCAAGAAUACUGGAGUGGGUUGCCAUGCCCUCCUCCAGGGGAUCUUGCUGACCCAAGGAUCGAACGCACACCUCUUAUGUCUCCUGUAUUGGCAGAUAGGUUCUUUACCACUAGCUCCACCUGUGAAGCCCAUCCUGGGAUGAAGGCACCCUGAUUAUCCCACAUUUGUGGGAAUUGCCCAAAGGGCAUGUGCUUCUUACUGUUGGAUUCACUAAGUCAUGCCUGAGUUGAAGGCAGAUCACUGGGGAGCUAGAAUUUGGGGUCUUCUCUCCAGCCAGACCUUGACCCAUCCCCUUCUAGGAGCAUUGCUUUUCUCAAGGUUUUCUUGCUCUGAAACCACUGGUUUAGUGAGAGACUGUCCAAUCCAUGGGCCUGGGGAUGCCAGACUGUGCUCCCAGAGAGGCCACUUCUGACAAAGCCAUGCCUGCAUUGCUCUGGGAAGACAGGUCUGCAGGGUAACCUUCUAAGGAUCUGUACCUCCUGUCAUCCUGCUGAGCACCUGAGGGGUUUCUCAUCUCAGACACUGUGAA